UUCUAUGCCUAAAGAUGGCGUGGAUGAAAGAAUUUCAGAUGGAUCAAAGGAGAGACUGAACAAGACCUUGGAAGAGAGAUCUAGUAAAUGUCAUUGACUAGACAAACCCCAUCCAGCUCAGGAAACUCUCCCAGCUAAAACAAAGUUGGAUGCUAGAACUGAGGGGCAUUAUCAAAUGCGUUUCUCCUGGUCCUGCUGUUCUCCGAGAGCGUACUUGGCAGGCACUCCCUCUAGAAAGAUGACUGUUAUGUAUGAGAAAAGGACAGCUUCUCUACUACUUAGAUAUGAUACAGCAUGAGAACUCCUUCAAAGGAGGUCAUCCUAUCUGGAUUAGCCUUUUGACAUUCAGUAGACACUGCCUAACUGGAGACUUUGCCUCCGGAACUGUAACUUUUCUAUUUUGGAAAGACAAAUACACAGGUCUGCUGUACCUGCAGUGCUGAGCUAUUGUGAUAGUUUGUUUUGUGUGACUCGAGUCAAGCUUGAAGCUUUCAAAACCAUGUGUCAAAGUUACUCUUCCCCACAAAGAAACAAAAGGGCACCGAGGAAAACAUCUGAAGGAGAAGAAUGUGCUGUCAGGAUUGGCAUUUCUUCACUUUAAUAGCUCAAGUAAGUGGCUCAGCCAUGUGUGACACUACAGAAACUGUACCUGAGUUAAGGCAGCCAACACAUCUUUGUACAGACCCUUUCUUUCCACGGGCAGUACACAACCAUUUCUAGCACACAUCAGCUAUCUCUGACUCCAGGAAAGGGACCAGCAGCACCUAAUCCAGAAGUUCAGAGACUGACGAAGUUUUCCACCUGAGAAAACCUGAGAGCAUAUUGAAUUAUUUGGUCCAUAGGCCUGGAUCCCAAAAUGUUAUCUGUGAUUCUUGGGCAUCUGAGUCCUGUUUGAGUAUUUCUUGUUGGGUA